UGGGGAAUAUUGGACAAUGGGCGCAAGCCUGAUCCAGCCAUGCCGCGUGUGUGAAGAAGGCCUUCGGGUUGUAAAGCACUUUUGUCCGGAAAGAAAUCCUUGGCUCUAAUACAGUCGGGGGGAUGACGGUACCGGAAGAAUAAGCACCGGCUAACUACGUGCCAGCAGCCGCGGUAAUACGUAGGGUGCAAGCGUUAAUCGGAAUUACUGGGCGUAAAGCGUGCGCAGGCGGUUUGCUAAGACCGAUGUGAAAUCCCCGGGCUCAACCUGGGAACUGCAUUGGUGACUGGCAGGCUAGAGUAUGGCAGAGGGGGGUAGAAUUCCACGUGUAGCAGUGAAAUGCGUAGAGAUGUGGAGGAAUACCGAUGGCGAAGGCAGCCCCCUGGGCCAAUACUGACGCUCAUGCACGAAAGCGUGGGGAGCAAACAGGAUUAGAUACCCUGGUAGUCCACGCCCUAAACGAUGUCAACUAGUUGUUGGGGAUUCAUUUCCUUAGUAACGUAGCUAACGCGUGAAGUUGACCGCCUGGGGAGUACGGUCGCAAGAUUAAAACUCAAAUGAAUUGACGGGGU
rnacentral:rRNA from 1 species